CGAACGGGUGAGUAACGCGUGAGGAACCUGCCUCAAAGAGGGGACAACAGUUGGAAACGACUGCUAAUACCGCAUAAGCCCACGACCCGGCAUCGGGUAGAGGGAAAAGGAGCAAUCCGCUUUGAGAUGGCCUCGCGUCCGAUUAGCUAGUUGGUGAGGUAACGGCCCACCAAGGCGACGAUCGGUAGCCGGACUGAGAGGUUGAACGGCCACAUUGGGACUGAGACACGGCCCAG
rnacentral:rRNA from 1 species